UACGUAGGGGGCAAGCGUUGUCCGGAAUCAUUGGGCGUAAAGAGCGUGUAGGCGGCUCGAUAAGUCUGCUGUGAAGGUCCAGGGCUCAACCCUGGAAGGCCGGUGGAAACUGUCGGGCUAGAGUCCGGAAGAGGCGAGUGGAAUUCCCGGUGUAGCGGUGAAAUGCGCAGAUAUCAGGAGGAACACCGGUGGCGAAGGCGGGUCUCUGGGCCGAUACUGACGCUGAGGAGCGAAAGCGUGGGGAGCGAACAGG
rnacentral:rRNA from 1 species